rnacentral:lncRNA from 1 species
UGAUUUCGAAAGCUACGCGCAAACUCAUCUGCCCUACACGGUUCCAAGAUGUAACUUGCCAGAUGAGCAUGAAGUUAUUUCCCUUGUGCAAACAUAUACACCGCUCCCGAGAAAUCCACCAUACCACUGACCUCCUCCAGAGAGGUGUUCAGGAUAAUUGAUGCUUGUUAGAGUCGCCCAUACUUCAUAUCUUUUACAUUCUCUUCUACCACAGAAGCAUCCUAAGCUCUGGUACGCGUUUCAGGGGCAAAUACUUAAGGGAAACUGGCAAGAAAAAAUGCACCGAGUCGGCAAAUUCGCACCUCUUGUGUUUCUAUCCAUGCAAAUGUACUGUAAGGAAAUCUCAGGGGAAAUUAUACGCUGAUGGCAUGCGUAAAAGGCUCGGGGCCAUUCUGCAGGUUGUAGCGGUUGGCCAUGCAACUUGUUCCGCUUUGUCCCACACGGCUCAUGCCAUGUGUGGCUCUCGUCUGCUUCCUUCCGAAACCCUCAG